rnacentral:misc_RNA from 1 species
AAGUCGUAACAAGGUUUCCGUAGGUGAACCUGCGGAAGGAUCAUUAUUGAAUGAACUUGGUGUGAUUGUUGCUGAUCCUUCUGGGAUAUGUGCACAUCUGCCAUCUUUAUCUCUCCACCUGUGCACACUUUGUAGGUCUAGAAUAACUCUCUGAGGCAACUCAGAUGUGAGAACUGCUACUGCGAGGUAGCUUUUCUUGUGUUUCUAGAUCUAUGUUUUCAUAUACACCAUAAGAAUGUAACAGAAUGUAUUAAUAGGUCUUGUACCUAUAAACUAUAUACAACUUUCAGCAACGGAUCUCUUGGCUCUU